GCCGGUUUGGCUCAGUGGAUAGAGCAAUCAGCCCACAGACUGAAGGCUCCCAGGUUCGAUUCCUGUCAACGGCA
rnacentral:tRNA from 1 species